UGCUUAACACAUGCAAGUCGAACGAAGCGCUUUCGAUUGAAUCUUCGGAGGAAAUAGGAAGUGACUGAGUGGCGGACGGGUGAGUAACGCGUGGGUAACCUGCCUCAUACAGGGGGAUAACAGUUAGAAAUGGCUGCUAAUACCGCAUAAGCAUACAGCACCGCAUGGUGCAGUGUGAAAAACUCCGGUGGUAUGAGAUGGACCCGCGUCUGAUUAGGUAGUUGGUGGGGUAACGGCCUACCAAGCCGACGAUCAGUAGCCGACCUGAGAGGGUGACCGGCCACAUUGGGACUGAGACACGGCCCAAACUCCUACGGGAGGCAGCAGUGGGGAAUAUUGCACAAUGGGGGAAACCCUGAUGCAGCGACGCCGCGUGAAGGAAGAAGUAUUUCGGUAUGUAAACUUCUAUCAGCAGGGAAGAAAAUGACGGUACCUGACUAAGAAGCCCCGGCUAACUACGUGCCAGCAGCCGCGGUAAUACGUAGGGGGCAAGCGUUAUCCGGAUUUACUGGGUGUAAAGGGAGCGUAGACGGAAGUGCAAGUCUGAAGUGAAAGCCCGGGGCUCAACCCCGUGACUGCUUUGGAAACUGUGCUUCUAGAGUGUCGGAGAGGUAAGCGGAAUUCCUAGUGUAGCGGUGAAAUGCGUAGAUAUUAGGAGGACAUCAGUGGCGAAGGCGGCUUACUGGACGAUAAC
rnacentral:rRNA from 1 species